rnacentral:misc_RNA from 1 species
GAUGAAGAACGCAGCGAAAUGCGAUACUUGGUGUGAAUUGCAGAAUCCCGUGAACCAUCGAGUCUUUGAACGCAAGUUGCGCCCGAAGCCAUUAGGCCGAGGGCACGCCUGCCUGGGCGUCACACGUCGUUGCCCCCCCAUCUACUCCUUCGGGGUUGCGGGGGGCGGAUGAUGGCCUCCCGUGCGCCUCGUCGCGCGGUUGGCAUAAAUACCAAGUCCUCGGCGACGCACGCCACGACAAUCGGUGGUUGCGAAACCUCGGUUGCCCGUCGUGUGCGGUCGUCGCGCAUCGAGGGCUCGAAAAAAUUGCCGGGCUCCGGCUCGGCUUUCAACGCGACCCCAGGUCAGGCGGGGUUACCCGCUGAAUUUAAGCAUAUCAAUAAGCGGAGGA